GCGUUAAAUGGUACUCUACGUUCUUCUAAGCCGUAGGUCGUAGGUUCGAAUCCUACAGGGCGUGCCA
rnacentral:tRNA from 6 species